GAUGAACGCUGGCGGCGUGCCUAAUACAUGCAAGUCGAGCGAACGGACGAGAAGCUUGCUUUUCUGAUGUUAGCGGCGGACGGGUGAGUAACACGUGGAUAACCUACCUAUAAGACUGGGAUAACUUCGGGAAACCGGAGCUAAUACCGGAUAAUAUUUUGAACCGCAUGGUUCAAAAGUGAAAGACGGUCUUGCUGUCACUUAUAGAUGGAUCCGCGCUGCAUUAGCUAGUUGGUAAGGUAACGGCUUACCAAGGCAACGAUGCAUAGCCGACCUGAGAGGGUGAUCGGCCACACUGGAACUGAGACACGGUCCAGACUCCUACGGGAGGCAGCAGUAGGGAAUCUUCCGCAAUGGGCGAAAGCCUGACGGAGCAACGCCGCGUGAGUGAUGAAGGUCUUCGGAUCGUAAAACUCUGUUAUUAGGGAAGAACAUAUGUGUAAGUAACUGUGCACAUCUUGACGGUACCUAAUCAGAAAGCCACGGCUAACUACGUGCCAGCAGCCGCGGUAAUACGUAGGUGGCAAGCGUUAUCCGGAAUUAUUGGGCGUAAAGCGCGCGUAGGCGGUUUUUUAAGUCUGAUGUGAAAGCCCACGGCUCAACCGUGGAGGGUCAUUGGAAACUGGAAAACUUGAGUGCAGAAGAGGAAAGUGGAAUUCCAUGUGUAGCGGUGAAAUGCGCAGAGAUAUGGAGGAACACCAGUGGCGAAGGCGACUUUCUGGUCUGUAACUGACGCUGAUGUGCGAAAGCGUGGGGAUCAAACAGGAUUAGAUACCCUGGUAGUCCACGCCGUAAACGAUGAGUGCUAAGUGUUAGGGGGUUUCCGCCCCUUAGUGCUGCAGCUAACGCAUUAAGCACUCCGCCUGGGGAGUACGACCGCAAGGUUGAAACUCAAAGGAAUUGACGGGGACCCGCACAAGCGGUGGAGCAUGUGGUUUAAUUCGAGGCAACGCGAAGAACCUUACCAAAUCUUGACAUCCUUUGACAACUCUAGAGAUAGAGCCUUCCCCUUCGGGGGACAAAGUGACAGGUGGUGCAUGGUUGUCGUCGGCUCGUGUCGUGAGAUGUUGGGUUAAGUCCCGCAACGAGCGCAACCCUUAAGCUUAGUUGCCAUCAUUAAGUUGGGCACUCUAAGUUGACUGCCGGUGACAAGCCGGAGGAAGGUGGGGACGACGUCAAAUCAUCAUGCCCCUUAUGAUUUGGGCUACACACGUGCUACAAUGGACAAUACAAAGGGCAGCGAAACCGCGAGGUCAAGCAAAUCCCAUAAAGUUGUUCUCAGUUCGGAUUGUAGUCUGCAACUCGACUACAUGAAGCUGGAAUCGCUAGUAAUCGUAGAUCAGCAUGCUACGGUGAAUACGUUCCCGGGUCU
rnacentral:rRNA from 1 species